CUCGGUCUCAGUGGACACGCGCCUCUUCUCCUCGCGGUCGGAAAUUGUCUGACAGUUAAGAUUGACAGUUCCUUGCUUUUCUUAAUUUUUUCUAACAGUGGAAAUUUGAACUGGAACCGAAAAGCUGAACUCUCCGAAACGAACUUAAAAAAAAUAAAU